GACGUAGGGCGCGAGCGUUGUCCGGAUUUAUUGGGCGUAAAGAGCUCGUAGGCGGCUUGUCGCGUCGAAUGUGAAAACUUGGGGCUCAACUCCAAGCUUGCAUUCGAUACGGGCAGGCUAGAGUUCGGUAGGGGAGACUGGAAUUCCUGGUGUAGCGGUGAAAUGCGCAGAUAUCAGGAGGAACACCGGUGGCGAAGGCGGGUCUCUGGGCAAUAACUGACGCUGAGGAGCGAAAGCGUGGGGAGCGAACAGG
rnacentral:rRNA from 1 species